GCAAAAGUUAAUAUCCAUAAGGAUAUUUUUAUGCACAGUGCAUAAGCUGGUGACAGCCAUCCGAUGGUGAUUUUUUUAUGACACGUGUAUGGAUCUGAAGGUCUCACAUCUGACCCUGAGUCACACAGGAUCACAGUCUCAAGCUCUCUCAAGGUCUUACCAUCGCGAUUCUCUCUGAAUCUCGCCGUCUCGCCGUCUCGCCGUCGUCUUCUCCCUUCGUAAUCUCGCCGUAAUCUCGCCGUCAUUCGCCGUCGUUCGCUGUAAUCUCGCCGUAAUCAAAUGGAUUGAUGCAUUAAUUGGAGGUGGGUUACGUGAAGGACAAUUAACUGAACUUGGAAGUAGAAAUACUCACUGUUUGAAUCUGGAAAGACACAUGUAAGAGCUCACUUAUUUUCCAUAAAAUUCAUAUCAUGUGUAGGAGUGUUAAUGUGUUGUAGCAUGUUUGUGAAAUCUGAAAUCUUGACACAAAAUUAUGAAUUGACCAGCAGUAAUUCAAAAGAAGCCCCUUGUGUUGUAGCAUGUGUAUAUAAGCAAUAUCCUUAUAUAUCUAUUGAAGGUGCAUUCAUAUCUAAUGAUUCAAAAAUGAUCUGAAUCAAUACUAGGAAAAAGUAGGAAGAAUGUGAAUUAUUAAGUUCCAUUAAAUCCCAGCCAUAAACUAUAACAUGUGCAUCACAGCAACAAAAGAUCACCAAAGUAACAACAAUGAAAAUAGUUCUGUAAGCUUGGAAAACAUUCUUUGACCAUAUCCUUUAAAUGCCAAAUAGAAAAUAUUACUAGAGGAUUCACAAUUGCAUACUGUGUUCAUACAAGUCAACAAGAUUCUUAUAUAAUUUCUUAUACUUUGGAUGUCUCGACCCCCAUCACAUGAGAAUUGAGAAUAUUGAUCUAUCGUUGCAAUUCCCGAUCCCAAAAAUAAAUAAAAACCUAAGGAAUCAAACACAGGUCCCUGCCACCAUUAUACAGAUGUCUUAUAUAACUAGUUUUACAUAACCAGUUUUUUGCUGAAAAAGAUUCUGAAAAUAUUUACAAAAACUGUGCCAGAUCCUUGCUUCAAUAAUGCAACAGACAUACUUUCUUAAUUGUAUCAGAUAUCCUGCCUAGUAGCUCUUCAAGAUAAUUUGUUUAUUGAAUGACUAUGUAGUUCUUCUGUCUCUUCUAUCAAAAUUUUACUAUGUUAGUUUUAAAUCUCAAGCAGAAAAACCAAAUGGUAAUCAAGGUGGUUCAAAUUAUAUAUAAGGCUCACACAAAUAAACUCUAUCACCUCAUUUCAGCCACUCAAUUUAAAGUUCAAUCUUGCCUUUGCCUUUGGAAAUUGGCUCAAUGUAAAAUUUAGUUUAUUUACUUCAAUCAAAAGGAAAGAAAUCAUUUGCUCAUUAUCCUUAAUGUUUUUUUGUUUUACUAUAUAUAGACUGGAAAGUUGCUUAUGAAGUAUUUACUGUUUAUUGUCCAAGUCAAGUAGGUCAGCAACAGAUUGAAACCAUUAAUAUUGGUAAAUGGUUUCAGUGUAUUACUUACUGAAACCAUAAAACCAUACUUAUGGUUUCAAUGUUAUAUUUCUCUUUUUUUAGGCUUUUAUAUAGUGAAUGUGUUCUUGAUUUUGAUUUUUAUUGAUUCGAUUGUGUUUUUGUAUAGGUUUUGGUUCAAUUGUGUUUUAAAUGGAUUUAACGUCCACUUCAUCUGAAAUUGGUGAUAUUCAUUCGACUGAAGCAUCUGAAUGGUGCUGAUGUAUUGAAAAAAAAGACCCACUUACUGAACUUUUUGCAGACUACUACUUAUGAUAUCUUUGAAGAGUCUUGGUUUUUCUUCUUCA